rnacentral:rRNA from 1 species
AUCUCCCUCCCAAUUUGAACAUACCUGAUCUCAUAUGCUCUGGGAAGCUAAGCAGAAUUGCUCCCGGUAAGUCUUUGGAUGGGAGACCACCAGGAAAGGGAUACCAAGGAUC